rnacentral:rRNA from 1 species
GGAUUAGAUACCCUGGUAGUCCACGCCCUAAACGAUGCACACUAGAUCGAGGUGUCUCUGACGGCAUCUCGGUCGAAGAGAAAUUGUUAAGUGUGCCGCCUGGGGAGUACGGUCGCAAGGCUAAAACUCAAAGGAAUUGACGGGGGCUCACACAAGCGGUGGAGCAUGUUGCUUAAUUCGAAGCAACGCGAAGAACCUUACCCGGGUUUGACAUGUACGGAUUAGCUUAUGGAAACAUGAGUGACGCUUUCGGGUGGAACGUACACAGGUGCUGCAUGGCUGUCGUCAGCUCGUGCCG